rnacentral:tRNA from 7 species
GGUUCGGUAGUUCAGCUGGUUAGAAUGCCGCCCUGUCACGGCGGAGGUCGCGGGUUCGAGUCCCGUCCGGACCG